ensembl:lncRNA novel transcript
CGCCCUCUGCAGCCACACCUGGACCGGCAGGCAUGCACGCUGCAGGCAGGCUGCCUCCGCUGUUUGGGUCCCAUGAACGAUGGAAGCCUCCCAGUGAGAUCUUCAGGUCUCUCAUCAGGCACAGGCUCUGAGGGAGGGUCCUGGGGCCACAUGACUGCAGCCAGCGAGGGCCGAGCCCCCAGAAUCCAGGUCAGCUCCUGGUGGCAGGGGACCUGCCCGUCAAAGCCGUCCAAGGGUUUCCGCGGCCCUGUCAGAACAGGCUUGAUAGAUGCCCGGAGGUUCCCUCUGACAGCCGCAGCAGCAGGGCUCAAACCGGCGGGGCCGUGUACCGCUCCAAGGACAAGCUCUGCCGAGGCCGACAUGAAAAGCCAGCACGCGGGUCGCCUAGAGCCGCUCUGCCUCCAAGCUGCAGCGCCGUUCGUGAAAAUACAGAGGGAGAGGGAAGGCACAAAGAAAUACAAAACUAUUUUCCAAAUAAAAAGAAAUGUCGAAACA